AAGGAAGUGGAGAAGAAGACACUAAUUUUUAAGGGAAGGGAACAUCGGUUCUGGUCUGUAAAUAUGUACAACAGUUUAUGACUUUCAUGAAAUAUUGGAGGAACACAGAGAUGAGAAGUUUUGUAGUAUGGUGAUGGAGUACGUACAAAGAAUGCAGCGGAUAAUGGCAGUCCUGUCCUCUGAACAGAUGGUGAUGGUCCUGUUGCUAGGAUAAGGCCUGAAGAAUUUAGUUUUUAAUUCCACAUUAUUUGCCUCAGUGCCAUGAAUAUCCCUAGGUUUCCUCAGGCAAAAAUACAACAAACACACAGAAAGAGAAAGAGAAGUGACAUGCGGAUAGAAAAGGAGACAGAGCACGGGAAAGGACUGGAGCCAGAUGUUCAUCAGAGGGAUGUCUUGGGUGCAGAUGACAUCUGACUGCCUGAGGGACACAGCUCCAACCUCUACGUGUCUUGGGAAACCUUUUGGAGAGCUUCCCUCAGGAAAACAGAGGGAAAGAGACAGAGAGGAAGUUGCCUGGUUAUUCAGGCAGAGCACUCCUGAGUGGAAACAGGAGGAUGUGGAGAGAUUUUGCAAUUUGAGUCAGUUCCAGAGUAGAGGAACACUCUUCAUUCAAAACUUGCUCAAGGUAUGUGUUCUUCAUGAGGAUAGGUGGCAUGUGGAUGGAGGGGGAGAUUUUUCUUUUGGAAGAGGAGGCCUAGGUAUGAGAUCAAGCCCAGUUUGGUUCCUCAUGUUCCAGGAAAGGUGGAGGUUUCUGGUCCUUUUCAAUCUGACAUCAAUUUUUCAGCAAGAUCCAAGAAGUGAAAGAAGUAAUACUUGAGUGAGUGCAGUGAUCACAGGAAAAUGAAUGUUAUUCUAUUCAUGAAUGGUGAUUUAACUGUGGUCUUAGUAAUAGCCUUGAAGUUUUCCUUUGGA